rnacentral:rRNA from 1 species
AGUGAACGCUGGCGGUGGGCCUAACACAUGCAAGUCGAACGGCAGCACAGUAAGAGCUUGCUCUUACGGGUGGCGAGUGGCGGACGGGUGAGGAAUACAUCGGAAUCUACUUUUUCGUGGGGGAUAACGUAGGGAAACUUACGCUAAUACAGCAUACGACCUACGGGGGAAAGCAGGGGAUCUUCGGACCUGGCGCGAUUGGAUGAGCCGAUGUCGGAUUAGCUAGUUGGCGGGGUAAAGGCCCACCAAGGCGACGAUCCGUAGCUGGUCUGAGAGGAUGAUCAGCCACACUGGAACUUAGACACGCUCCAUACUCCUACGGGAGGCAGCAGUGGGCAAUAUUGGACAAUGGGCGCAAGCCUGACCCAGCCAUCCCGCGUGGGUGAAGACGGCCUUCGGGUUGUAAAGCCCUUUUGUUGGUAAAGAACAGCAUCAGGUUAAUACCCCGCUGUUCUGACGGUACCCAAAGAAUAAGCACCGGCUAACUUCGUG